rnacentral:rRNA from 1 species
GACGAACGCUGGCGGCGUGCUUAACACAUGCAAGUCGAACGGAAAGGCCCUGCUUUCGUGGGGUGCUCGAGUGGCGAACGGGUGCGUAACACGUGAGUAACCUGCUCUUGACUUUGGGAUAACUUCAGGAAACUGGGGCUAAUACCGGAUAGGAGCUCCUGUUGCAUGGUGGGGGUUGGAACGUUUCGGCGGUUGGGGAUGGACUCGCGGCUUAUCAGCUUGUUGGUGGGGUAGUGGCUUACCAAGGCUUUGACGGGUAGCCGGCCUGAGAGGGUGACCGGCCACAAUGGGACUGAGAUACGGCCCAGAGUCCUACGGGAGGCAGCAGUGGGGAAUAUUGCACAAUAAGCGGAAGCCUGAUGCGGCAACGCCGCGUGCGUGAUGACGGCCUUCGGGUUGUAAACCGCUUUCGCCUGUGACGAAGCGGUAGUGACGGUAAUGGGUAAAGAAGCACCGGCUAACUACGUG